rnacentral:rRNA from 1 species
GACGAACGCUGGCGGCGUACUUAACACAUGCAAGUCGAACGGAAAGGCCCUGCUUUUGUGGGGUGCUCGAGUGGCGAACGGGUGAGUAACACGUGAGUAACCUGCCCUUGACUUUGGGAUAACUUCAGGAAACUGGGGCUAAUACCGGAUAGGAGCUCCUGCUGCAUGGUGGGGGUUGGAAAGUUUCGGCGGUUGGGGAUGGACUCGCGGCUUAUCAGCUUGUUGGUGGGGUAGUGGCUUACCAAGGCUUUGACGGGUAGCCGGCCUGAGAGGGUGACCGGCCACAUUGGGACUGAGAUACGGCCCAGACUCCUACGGGAGGCAGCAGUGGGGAAUAUUACACAAUGGGCGGAAGCCUGAUGCAGCAACGCCGCGUGCGGGAUGACGGCCUUCGGGUUGUAAACCGCUUUCGCCUGUGACGAAGCGUGAGUGACGGUAAUGGGUAAAGAAGCACCGGCUAACUACGUG